AAAAGGACGAAAAUGGCGAUUCAUGUUCUCCACGACUCCACCGACGAGCACCAGAGGAGCAUCACCACCAACCGGUUCUUCUUCUCCUCGACUAAGGCCACCACCAGAGCUUCUCUCCUUCGUUAAACCACCAGUUUAGCUUCUCUCCGUCUUCUUUCCACCACCAUAGCUUCUGUUUUCUUGGAGAUCCCACCACCGGAGGUCCGGAGCGGAGGUGGAUUCUUCGUUGCCAUCUCAACUUACUUAGAAACCUCGUACAGAAACUCUUUCGUUUAAGACUGCAGGGGAGAUGGGAAGAAGCAUGUGUGAUCGUAAAAAUUCUGAUCUUCUUACACCCUUCUCCAAGAAACCAUCAAAUAGCAACAAUCAAGAUGUGACAGUGGCAAUGUAGGAAGAAGGUUCAUUAAAGUGGGGGAUUGCUUCAAACGUAAGCAUGUGGAAACAUCAUCUUCUCACCACAACGAAACAUCAUCCUUUCAUACCCGCGGUCCGGACCGCAAAGUCCUAUGUAGUAAGCGGGGCGGGUUUGGGAACCGCGGGUCACGGCGGGCUGACCCGCAAAGAUCACCCGGAGAUAGAGACCACAGCGGGGCGGGCCAAGGCGGGGCGGGUGGUAGCAAUUGCCAUUUCUAGAGUUGUUUAAUAAAAAUCACACCAAAUUUUCAGAUUCUCCUGCAAUCAUUUAAAAACUCAAUAAAAAUCAAAUCACUUCAAAUUUCAGAUUCAAUGCACCCCCUUAGAAGAUGAGCUACACAACCUUGACUCUUUAUUUUUCUCCAAAAAGAUAUAAGAGCCCUUGAGAUCGAAAGCAAGGAAAUCAAAUCCAGGCAGACGAGGAAAGAACCGGCGAACCUAGCGACUUCCCACAACUUGAGGAUAAGAUCCAAGUUCCAUAACGAUGGAUUAGAGCAAUAAAAUAUCAACGAUCGACCCCAUCACUAAACCAGUAGAACCAAAACCAAGAUAAAUCACUCCUCUUACCCCCAUAAUCUUCACCACUUGAAACAAAAACAUGCAUGGCACAAAUAAAGAAGAAACAGAUGAAAGCAACCAAAGACGAAUCGAAA